GUAACACGUCGAUAAUCUGCCUUACAGUCUGGGAUAACCAUGGGAAACUGUGGCUAAACCCGGAUAGAGGAUUAUAACUGGAAUGUUUUUUCCUUGAAAGGCAACGCUGUAAGAUGAGUUGGCGGCUGAUUAGGUUGAUGGUGAGGUAAAGGCUCACCAUGCCAAAGAUCAGUAAGGGGGAUGAGAGUCCUAGCCCUGAGAAGGACACUGAGAUAAGGGUCCUAGCCCUAAGGGGUGCAGCAGCCACGAAAACUUUACAAUGCACGCAAGUGUGAUAAGGGAAUCCCAAGUGCUUACUUUACGGUAGGCUUUUGCCAAGUGUAAAAAGCUUGGCGAAUAAGUGGUGGGUAAGACCGGUGCCAGCAGCCGCGGUAACCCCGGCGCCACAAGUUGCAAUUACAUUUAUUGGGUCUAAAGGGUCCGUAGCCGGCCUUGUAAAUCUUUUGUGAAAUUGUCUGGCUUAACCAGACAGCGCGCAAGAGAGACUGCAAGGCUUGAGACCGGGAAGAGGCAGAAGUAUUCUAAGGGGAGCGGUAAAAUGUGAUAAUCCUUAGAGGACUACCGAUGGCGAAGGCAUCUGCCUAGAACGGUUCUGACGGUGAGGGUCGAAAGCCAGGGGAGCGAUCGGGAUUAGAUACCCCAGUAGUCCUGGCUGUAAACGCUGUGAACUAAGUGUUGCAUCUCCUUUGAGGAUAUGCAGUGCUGUAGCGAAGGUGUUAAGUUCACCACCUGGGAAGUACGGCCGCAAGAC
rnacentral:rRNA from 1 species